AAAUUGAAGAGUUUGAUCAUGGCUCAGAUUGAACGCUGGCGGCAGGCCUAACACAUGCAAGUCGAGCGGUAGCACAGAGAGCUUGCUCUCGGGUGACGAGCGGCGGACGGGUGAGUAAUGUCUGGGAAACUGCCUGAUGGAGGGGGAUAACUACUGGAAACGGUAGCUAAUACCGCAUAAUGUCGCAAGACCAAAGUGGGGGACCUUCGGGCCUCAUGCCAUCAGAUGUGCCCAGAUGGGAUUAGCUAGUAGGUGGGGUAACGGCUCACCUAGGCGACGAUCCCUAGCUGGUCUGAGAGGAUGACCAGCCACACUGGAACUGAGACACGGUCCAGACUCCUACGGGAGGCAGCAGUGGGGAAUAUUGCACAAUGGGCGCAAGCCUGAUGCAGCCAUGCCGCGUGUGUGAAGAAGGCCUUCGGGUUGUAAAGCACUUUCAGCGGGGAGGAAGGCGGUGAGGUUAAUAACCUCAUCGAUUGACGUUACCCGCAGAAGAAGCACCGGCUAACUCCGUGCCAGCAGCCGCGGUAAUACGGAGGGUGCAAGCGUUAAUCGGAAUUACUGGGCGUAAAGCGCACGCAGGCGGUCUGUCAAGUCGGAUGUGAAAUCCCCGGGCUCAACCUGGGAACUGCAUUCGAAACUGGCAGGCUAGAGUCUUGUAGAGGGGGGUAGAAUUCCAGGUGUAGCGGUGAAAUGCGUAGAGAUCUGGAGGAAUACCGGUGGCGAAGGCGGCCCCCUGGACAAAGACUGACGCUCAGGUGCGAAAGCGUGGGGAGCAAACAGGAUUAGAUACCCUGGUAGUCCACGCCGUAAACGAUGUCGAUUUGGAGGUUGUGCCCUUGAGGCGUGGCUUCCGGAGCUAACGCGUUAAAUCGACCGCCUGGGGAGUACGGCCGCAAGGUUAAAACUCAAAUGAAUUGACGGGGGCCCGCACAAGCGGUGGAGCAUGUGGUUUAAUUCGAUGCAACGCGAAGAACCUUACCUGGUCUUGACAUCCACAGAACUUUCCAGAGAUGGAUUGGUGCCUUCGGGAACUGUGAGACAGGUGCUGCAUGGCUGUCGUCAGCUCGUGUUGUGAAAUGUUGGGUUAAGUCCCGCAACGAGCGCAACCCUUAUCCUUUGUUGCCAGCGGUUCGGCCGGGAACUCAAAGGAGACUGCCAGUGAUAAACUGGAGGAAGGUGGGGAUGACGUCAAGUCAUCAUGGCCCUUACGACCAGGGCUACACACGUGCUACAAUGGCAUAUACAAAGAGAAGCGACCUCGCGAGAGCAAGCGGACCUCAUAAAGUAUGUCGUAGUCCGGAUUGGAGUCUGCAACUCGACUCCAUGAAGUCGGAAUCGCUAGUAAUCGUAGAUCAGAAUGCUACGGUGAAUACGUUCCCGGGCCUUGUACACACCGCCCGUCACACCAUGGGAGUGGGUUGCAAAAGAAGUAGGUAGCUUAACCUUCGGGAGGGCGCUUACCACUUUGUGAUUCAUGACUGGGGUGAAGUCGUAACAAGGUAACCGUAGGGGAACCUGCGGUUGGAUCACCUCCUUACCUUAAAGAA
rnacentral:rRNA from 1 species